rnacentral:lncRNA from 1 species
ACCAGGCAGAGCGCGUGUGGCCGCCGAGCACAUGGACCCACUGGUCAAGCGGGCUCGGCAAGGCCAGGAUGAAGAGAAGCUACGAACUUAGCAUUCCCAGAGCCCCCCGAGUGGAUAUCCGCGUGGAAAGGAUGUUGGCAGCCCCGGUGACCUCGGAGUCACGGCUGGAUCCACCCUCUUGUCUGAUUUUCUUAACUCUACUACGGUAAGAAGAUGCCCUCCAUCAGCAGGCCGUGUCUGCUGGGACCUCUCUGGAGACUUCCUGAACCCUGUGGAUUUACAGUAAGAUGCAGUUUCCUGGGGAGUAAUUCUGGUGGAUACAAAUUCCGGAGUAUUACACCUGGCUUGCCUGGAGAUGUUACAAGUAGCUGGAUGGAUUCUUCAGCCUGGAUGCCCACUGAAAACAAGGACCGAAACUAAGAGGAUUGUAUCUCUACCCUUGACUCAAUGAGAAUGUUUGUUGUCAUCUCUCGGGCUACCUGGAGCUCCCUCUAAAAUAGAGCCGAGUUCUGUCACCACAGACAUUGGCAGUGGCACUUGCAUGCCCCUGGCAAGCAGUCUAUCCUGAGGUGGAGGAAGUUGCCCUUGAGUUCUGGCUGGUAACCAGCACAGUAUACCCUUUAAGCGUUCCAGAAGGAUUUUGAGAUCCUUUCCUAAAUCAAAGGUGGAAUAUUUGGGGAUUUGGAAAAUUGAGUGUCUUCAGCCAAGGGAUGAGAACAGCGCAUGCUGCUGCUGCUGAUUCUGUGUGCUCAGGGCCCUUCUGUGGAGGAGCAGGAGAAUAGGUGGACUGGAAGCAGCUGGCUCACUUUGCAGGAUGUUGGAACCCCCAGACUGCUGUAGAUAUGGAAAGAAGACACUGAGUGGUGGGGAAGGCAUGGGGAGAUGCUCUGAGGUUCGGAAUGAGUCCCCAGUAUGCAGCCGACUGGUGGUUGGGAUGCCAAGUGUUGGGGAGAAAAGGGUUAAUCUCGAGCAGCUAGAAACCCGAGUUGCUACUUAGAAUCGGAGAGGAGAGUUUGGCUGUUUAUUUUGUUCAUCUUUCAAGUAAGGGGUGGAAUUCUUAUGUCUGAAACUCUAGUGAGAGGGUCCAAUGGAAAUGAAUAUUUGUGCAGAG